rnacentral:rRNA from 1 species
CCUACGGGUGGCAGCAGUGGGGGAUAUUGCACAAUGGGGGGAACCCUGAUGCAGCGACGCCGCGUGGGUGAAGGAGCGUUUCGGCGCGUAAAGCCCUAUCGGCAGGGAAGAAGAUGACGGUACCUGACCAAGAAGCCCCGGCUAACUACGUGCCAGCAGCCGCGGUAAUACGUAGGGGGCAAGCGUUAUCCGGAUUUACUGGGUGUAAAGGGGGCGCAGACGGCAAUGCAAGCCAGGAGUGAAAGCCCGGGGCCCAACCCCGGGACUGCUCUUGGAACUGCAUGGCUGGAGUACAGGAGGGGCAGGCGGAAUUCCUAGUGUAGCGGUGAAAUGCGUAGAUAUCAGGAGGAACAUCGGUGGCGUAAGCGCUUUACUGGGCCGUAAUUGACGCUGAGGAACGAAAGCCAGGGUAGCAAAUGGGAUUAGAUACCCCAGUAGUC